UCCGCAGGUGGAUAAUUAAGUCAGAGGUGAAAUCCUGCAGCUCAACUGUAGAAUUGCCUUUGAUACUGGUUAUCUUGAGUCAUUAUGAAGUGGUUAGAAUGUGUAGUGUAGCGGUGAAAUGCAUAGAUAUUACACAGAAUACCGAUUGCGAAGGCAGAUCACUAAUAAUGUACUGACACUGAGGGACGAAAGCGUGGGGAGCGAACAGGAUUAGAUACCCUGGUAGUC
rnacentral:rRNA from 1 species